UGCACUUCUGUGGCUUAAGUGGCUAGAGCGUCUGCAUCCGAUGCGGAAGGUCACGGGUUCAAACCCCGGCCGAGUCAA